rnacentral:lncRNA from 1 species
CGGGGAGCUCUAUUCACUGCACUUGUUGUAAUCUAUGCUCUUACUUCUGGCAUUGCUGGGUACACAGCAACAUCCUUCUAUAUGCAGCUUGAAGGGACUAACUGGGUAUGAUAUUUUUCAAAGGAAAAUUAGUCUAAUUUUCAGUACACUUCCUGUUUGUGUGAAUUCAAUAUUUUUCCUUCUUAAAUUGCAGGUGAGGAAUUUAUUGUUGACUGGUUGCUUAUUUUGUGGACCUCUGUUUUUGACCUUCUGCUUCCUAAACACUGUUGCUAUAGUGUAUAGUGCCACGGCAGCCUUGCCAUUUGGUACUAUUCUUGUGAUUCUUCUUAUAUGGGCACUUGUGACCUCUCCUUUGCUAGUGUUGGGUGGUAUUGCUGGUAAAAACAGCCAAACAGAGUUCCAUGCUCCAUGUCGCACCACAAAGUAUCCAAGAGAAAUACCUCAACUUCCAUGGUAUCGAAGCGCCAUACCUCAAAUGAUGAUGGCAGGGUUUC